GUUUUUAAAUGCAAGCUAUUGUGACACUAGUGAGUGAGUGGUGGCACAGGGCACAGUAUCCACUGUGAGCCUGACACACCCGCUUUAAGGACACUGACUGCUAUUCAAUCUAUAACAGUGAAAAAAGUUUUUUGUUUUUAAAUGCAAGCUAUUGUGACACCAGUGAGUGAGUGGUGGCACUGGGCACAGUAUCCACUGUGAGCCUGACACACCCGCUUUAAGGACACUGACUGCUAUUCAAUCUAUAACAGUGAAAAAAGUUUUUUGUUUUUAAAUGCAAGCUAUUGUGACACCAGAUAUGAGUGGUGGCACUGACUGGGCAAAUGGGCACAGUAUCAACU